UACGAGGGGUGCGAGCGUUAUUCGGAAUCAUUGGGCGUACAGGGCGCGUAGACGGCAUUUUAAGUCAACUGUUAAAUUUCCCGGCCUAACCGGGAACCAGCAGUAGAUACUGAUGUGCUAGAGGAUGGAAGAGAGAAGUGGAAUUCUCGGAGUAGCGGUAAAAUGCGUAGAUCUCGAGAGGAACACCGAUGGCGAAGGCAGCUUCUUGGUCCAUACCUGACGUUGAGGCGCGAAAGCGUGGGGAGCAAACAGG
rnacentral:rRNA from 1 species